rnacentral:rRNA from 1 species
CCUACGGAGGGCAGCAGUGGGGAAUAUUGGACAAUGGGGGGAACCCUGAUCCAGCCAUGCCGCGUGUGUGAAGAAGGCCCUCGGGUUGUAAAGCACUUUCAGUGAGGAAGAACGCCUGGUGGUUAAUACCCAUCAGGAAAGACAUCACUCACAGAAGAAGCACCGGCUAACUCCGUGCCAGCAGCCGCGGUAAUACGGAGGGUGCGAGCGUUAAUCGGAAUUACUGGGCGUAAAGCGCGCGUAGGUGGCUUGAUAAGCCGGUUGUGAAAGCCCCGGGCUCAACCUGGGAACGGCAUCCGGAACUGUCAAGCUACAGUGCAGGCGAGGAAGGUAGUAUUCCCGGUGUAGCGGUGAAAUGAGUAGAGAUCGGGAGGGAUACCAGUGGCGAAGGCGGCCUUCUGGACUGACACUGACACUGAGGUGCGAAAGCGUGGGUAGCAAACAGGAUUAGAUACCCGGGUAGUC